AAAUGAUCCACAAUACAAGAUGUAGUUAUAAAAAUUUUCUCACUUCGAACUGAACAAUUUGUGAUCUGAGAUGAAGCCUUUUUUUUGUACUUAAGAGUGUUACAAGACAAUGGAAGAGUAUCUAAAAAAUGUUUGUCAUUGAAUAAUUAUAAAUUGAACAGAAUGAAAGCAACUCUCAAACUAUGAUGGAUAACU